rnacentral:rRNA from 1 species
UACGGGGGGAGCAAGCGUUGUUCGGAUUUACUGGGCGUAAAGGGCGCGUAGGCGGUCGUGACAAGUCACUUGUGAAAUCUCCGGGCUUAACUCGGAACGGUCAAGUGAUACUGUCGGGCUAGAGUGCAGAAGGGGCAACUGGAAUUCUCGGUGUAGCAGUGAAAUGCGUAGAUAUCGAGAGGAACACCUGCGGCGAAGGCGGGUUGCUGGGCUGACACUGACGCUGAGGCGCGAAAGCCAGGGGAGCGAACGGG